rnacentral:rRNA from 1 species
ACGUAGGGAGCAAGCGUUGUUCGGAUUUACUGGGCGUAAAGGGCGCGUAGGCGGCGCGACAAGUCACUUGUGAAAUCUCCGGGCUUAACUCGGAACGGCCAAGUGAAACUGUCAUGCUAGAGUGCAGAAGGGGCAAUCGGAAUUCUUGGUGUAGCGGUGAAAUGCGUAGAUAUCAAGAGGAACACCUGAGGUGAAGACGGGUUGCUGGGCUGACACUGACGCUGAGGCGCGAAAGCCAGGGGAGCAAACGGGAUUAGAUACCCCGGUAGUCCUGGCCCUAAACGAUGAAUACUUGGUGUCUGGAAUUAUUAUUGUUCCGGGUGCCGUCGCUAACGUUUUAAGUAUUCCGCCUGGGGAGUACGCACGCAAGUGUG